CAGACAGGUCGCGAUCCAAGCAUGUUUCUACAAUAAAUUAUAAAUUAAUUUUUGGCAAGCCGGAGAGAGAGGCCCAACUGACUAUCAGGGUAUGAGGGCCAUCAUCUAACAUUGACAAAGAUCCAGUAUUGGAAAAAGUUAAAGUUCUUGCUGGACCUGUUCUGGAUGGUGUUUACACAAUUUAUGAUGGAGAUAGCAGUCUUA